AACGAACGCUGGCGGCAGGCCUUACACAUGCAAGUCGAACGAUGUAGCAAUACAUAGUGGCGCACGGGUGCGUAACGCGUGGGAAUCUACCUUAUAGUUUGGAAUAACCAUUGGAAACGAUGGCUAAAACCGAAUACGCCCUGAGGGGGAAAGUUUAUCGCUAUAAGAUGAGCCCGCGUUGGAUUAGCUAGUUGGUGAGGUAAUGGCUCACCAAGGCUACGAUCCAUAGCUGGUCAGAGAGGAUGAUCAGCCACACCGGGACUGAGACACGGCCCGGACUCCUACGGGAGGCAGCAGUGGGGAAUAUUGGACAAUGGGCGAAAGCCUGAUCCAGCCAUGCCGCGUGAGUGACGAAGGCCUUAGGGUUGUAAAGCUCUUUCGCCGAUGAAGAUAAUGACAGUAGUCGGAUAAGAAGCCCCGGCUAACUUCGUGCCAGCAGCCGCCGUAA
rnacentral:rRNA from 1 species